GUCCCUCUGGGGACAUCCAACAAAAUUGGAAUGAUGCAGAGAAGAUUAGCAUGGCCCUUGCGCGAAGGAUGAUACGCACAAAUCGAGAAAAAAAACAACAAAAA
rnacentral:snRNA from 1 species